rnacentral:lncRNA from 1 species
UAUAGAUGGUGAGUAUAACUCUUUGUUCGAGAACCAUCCCAAGAGUCGUAAAAGUCUUCUCUGUCUCAACUAACCAAUACUCAGCAUCUUUAAAGGAGGAUGCCCCUGCAAAAAUAGAUGGAUUUAGUUUUUGGUACAUCUCAAUGUAGCAUGGGUCCAUCAUGGGUGGAAUUGGGUCCCAUGGAAGAGAGACUGGAUUGUACUGGGGAGGGACCAUAUGGCCCUG